rnacentral:rRNA from 1 species
GACGAACGCUGGCGGCGUGCUUAACACAUGCAAGUCGAACGGUGAACCUCUUCGGAGGGGAUCAGUGGCGAACGGGUGAGUAACACGUGGGCAACCUGCCCCCGGCUCUGGGAUAACUCCAAGAAAUUGGGGCUAAUACCGGAUGUUCACCGCUUCCCGCAUGGGUGGUGGUGGAAAGGGUUUCCGGCUGGGGAUGGGCCCGCGGCCUAUCAGCUUGUUGGUGGGGUAAUGGCCUACCAAGGCGACGACGGGUAGCCGGCCUGAGAGGGUGAACGGCCACAAUGGGACUGAGACAAGGCCCCGACUCCUACGGGAGGGAGGCGGGGGGAAUAUUGCACAAUGGGGGGAAGCCCGAAGCAGGAGCGCCGCGUGGGGGAAGACGGCCCUUGGGGUGUAAAACCUUUUUCGCAGGGAAGAAGGGAAAGGGAAGGUAACCGGCGAAAAAAGACCGGGCAACCACGGG